rnacentral:rRNA from 1 species
UACGUAGGGGGCAAGCGUUAUCCGGAUUUACUGGGUGUAAAGGGAGCGUAGGUGGAUUGUUAAGUCAGUUGUGAAAGUUUGCGGCUCAACCGUAAAAUUGCCGUUGAAACUGGAAGACUUGAGUGUGUUUGAGGUAGGCGGAAUGCGUGGUGUAGCGGUGAAAUGCAUAGAUAUCACGCAGAACUCCGAUUGCGAAGGCAGCUCACUGGACUGCAACUGACACUGAGGCUCGAAAGUGUGGGUAUCAAACAGG